ensembl:snoRNA small nucleolar RNA, C/D box 11B
ACCAGGCGGUGAUGAUGAUGACUAUUGUCACUUUCCUGACAAACCACUGAUGGUUCUAAGUCACUACCUCAUCUGAGCUUGUG